rnacentral:rRNA from 1 species
AGAGUUGAUCCUGGCUCAGGAUGAACGCUAGCUACAGGCUUAACACAUGCAAGUCGAGGGGCAGCAUGAUCGAAGCUUGCUUGAUGAUGGCGACCGGCGCACGGGUGAGUAACGCGUAUCCAACCUUCCCUAUAGUAGAGAAUAGCCCGGCGAAAGUCGGAUUAAUGCUCUAUGUUGUAUUUAGAAGACAUCUGAAGAAUACCAAAGGUUUACCGCUAUAGGAUGGGGAUGCGUCUGAUUAGGUAGUAGGCGGGGUAACGGCCCACCUAGCCGACGAUCAGUAGGGGUUCUGAGAGGAAGGUCCCCCACAUUGGAACUGAGACACGGUCCAAACUCCUACGGGAGGCAGCAGUGAGGAAUAUUGGUCAAUGGACGGAAGUCUGAACCAGCCAAGUAAGCGUGCAGGAUGACGGCCCUAUGGGUUGUAAACUGCUUUUAUAUAGGGAUAAAGUCGGGGACGUGUCCCCGUUUGUAGGUACUAUAUGAAUAAGGACCGGCUAAUUCCGUGCCAGCCGCAGC